rnacentral:SRP_RNA from 1 species
GGGCAGGUCUGGCGCGGCGAAACCUUACGAACCCCGCCAGGAUCGAAAGAUAGCAACGGUAAGAAAGUGUCUUCGGGUGCCGCCAGUCACCUGCUCGGA